rnacentral:lncRNA from 1 species
GGAGAAGGCAAAGUGCAGAGGAAGGAGGAGCCACUGCUAGUGGGUACGAGGUUUCUUCUUGGUACAAGGACUUCUACGUUCUGUCCUCCUGCAGCCAUCUAAAAUCAGCCAGAAAGGUUUAGGAUCCCAUUUCCUGUUCUUGCAUCGGCUGUCCAAGCUGCUGUUCCUCUCUCCGCAGUAAGAGGGUGUUUCUCUCCCUGUUCAAGAGGAGCACCAACACUUGAGGACAGUAUCAUCCCUAGACCUUGGCAAGAGAGACCACUGAGUGAGGCAUCCAUGGAACCCAAGGAAGAGGCCUACGAAGAACCUGCAGUCACCUUCUAGACCAUUCUCCCUCACCAAACUGUCCCCUCCAGAGAGCUGAGGACUGGAUCUUCCCAUGCUGACACCUCCAGUGGGAAAGAAAAUUCUAGAUUCAGCUCUGGGUGUCCAAGUCAUUAUGAAGGCAUAUUUGUCAAGGUGGAAGAAAAGGACAUAUUCUAUUUAGCAGUUUGCAAUGUCCAGCCACCUACUGAUCGUAUGUGAUGGGGGGUGAGGAGGAGAUACUUUGCAUGGCCCCCAGUGACAAAGAAGAGGCCCUUAGCUAUAGCUACUCUUGUUUUAGAGGACAACUUCUCUUCACUGAGGACAACACAGAAUCCUGGAGAUAUUUUUGAUGAGUAGUAGACAGAAUGUGCUAUAACCUUCUGGAAACUUCUACUAUUUUCCUGCAACCUGACUACCCCUUAGGUGAGGGAGUCCAGAAUGCUGGCUUGAAAUGGGAGAGAGAAAGAACUGCCACAUAAUUUGCAAGAUCUUUUUUGAAAAAGAAAAGGUAUUAAGAAUUCCAGGACAGCAUUAGGAAUGUAUUAAACCAGAAUAAGGAACAGCGGAGCUUCCCCCUAAGACCCUGGUGUGUUUCUGCAUCAGGAAACCUUCUCUCCUGCAAUGUGUCGUUUAAGAUUGAACAACAUGGUGCCUUUGCCAGAAGUUAACAGGAAACCCAAAAGGAGAUGAGCCAGACUGGUUAGUUCAGAAGAGAAUCGUUGGGGAAGACAAUGGGAGCUGCUGUUUGAAUGUGGCCCUGAGAUUAUUUGUGCUUUUCAAUCCCAUGUUACCAAAACACAUUUCAAGCUGGCCUAUAAAUCACACCUUGUGCAUAAUUUUAAGUGGAUAAAUAUUUGUCGCCCAAGUGAAUGAUGCUUCCAGCUUUCAAAAAA